ACUCGGUGCCGCUUUCGCGGUGCCCCGCACGUGCGAGGGGAAGCCGGUCGAAGUCCGGCGCUGACCCGCAGCCGUAGGCCGCCCACACCGGGUGGCAAGCCGGAAUGCCUCGUCCGCUGCGGUCGUC
rnacentral:ncRNA from 16 species